CUCCCGAUCGCAAUCUGAACAACUCUAAGGUGAUCUUUGUGAUGAGGAAGUCUCAGAGGUCAAUCGAUUUUUUUCCCUCGAUUAGAGUCGACGAUUGAAGAAUUUCACUCUCCCAAUCCCAAUCUGAACGACUGUGAUGAAGAAGUCUCGGAGGUCAAUCGAUUUUUUUCCAUCGGUUGGACUCGACGAUUGAAGGCAUAAAGAACGAUUUGGGUUCUUAAUCGCUACUUUCCAAUCAAAAAUUGCAAUUUUAGCCGCUUCAGUCGCUGAGUGCAGAUGUUUCAAAUUUGUGAUUUACCAAAGACUUGUACAACUUCUUCUUUUGCUUGUUUCUUCUACUACUCUUUCAAGUCCGGAGUCAGUUCGACUCAUUCACUUGCAAAAUGUUUUUCGCUGAUCUGCUAUUGGAGAUGAAUCCACCCCAGCACCCCGCCGCCACUACUAGCCCCAAGGCUCGUAGAUCUGACUCCAGAUUUCUUUUUUGGUAUAUUGGACACGAGAAUCGGUUAGUAUCUCCACGCCCAAAACAUUGAUUUCAGACCCAACCCAGUUCACAGUGUUCACCAUUCUCAUCUUCUUCCACCUUGAUUUCAGAUAGUUUUUUUCGUUCUUAAUGGAUUUUGUUUGUUGGUGUAGAUGGGAAUUCUUGAAAGAAAUUCUGCUUGGUGAUUAGACUGAUGAGAUAUUAAUGGGAUUUUGUUUGUUGGUGUUGAUGGGAAUGCUUGAAAGAAAUUCUGCUUGUGUGGGAAAGGCAGAACAUAGUAGUAGGUACUUGGCUAAAUAACUUCUAUAGGAAAUUGAAGAACCCAGUUCUUAUGUCACCCUGUGGAAGUGGGUCACUUUGAAUUUGAGAUACAAGAGGUUUUGCGCUACAUACUUCAUACAAUUUUGUUUCAUCGAGUUGUUGGUCUUGUGAGGCCCAAAGAUGCGGAUUUGGAACUUUUUGAUAUUACAUAUGUCCAAUGUGGAGAUUUGAAAAUUGAAAAGAAAAUCGAGGAGAAGAUUGAGCAAUUUAUUAGUUGGGUUGAGAAACACCCCAACAAAAAGAGUCAGGUUUGUGGCGUUUGGACUGUUUAAAUUUAAACAACAUAAUGUAGUUUGCGAGCUGGCUUCGAAAGAUGUAAAAUAUAUGUUUUUUUCUUUAUGCUUUCCAAAAAGUACACUAAAUUAAAAUGUAUGAUGUUUAUUUUCAUUUCUCAGUAAUAGGGAUAUGUUCUUUCUCAACUCAUUGAUUUGUCACAUCCUUGUGUGAAAUAAGUUCUGAUGGAAAAGUUUAUGUGGGAAAGGCAGAACAUAGUAGUAGGUACUUGGCUAAAUAACUUCUAUAGGAAAUUGAAGAACCCAGUUCCUAUGCCACCUCGUGGUAUGUUUGUGUAUAUAGUAUAGUUCUAUCCCGAAUUAAAAAGGAGAUUGAUUGACUGGGAUUAUUAUCUAUUUGUACUUAAAUGUAGA